GAUGAACGCUGGCGGCGUGCCUAAUACAUGCAAGUCGAGCGAACAGACGAGGAGCUUGCUCCUCUGACGUUAGCGGCGGACGGGUGAGUAACACGUGGAUAACCUACCUAUAAGACUGGGAUAACUUCGGGAAACCGGAGCUAAUACCGGAUAAUAUAUUGAACCGCAUGGUUCAAUAGUGAAAGACGGUUUUGCUGUCACUUAUAGAUGGAUCCGCUCCGCAUUAGCUAGUUGGUAAGGUAACGGCUUACCAAGGCGACGAUGGGUAGCCGGCCUGAGAGGGUGAUCGGCCACACUGGAACUGAGACACGGUCCAGACUCCUACGGGAGGCAGCAGUAGGGAAUCUUCCGCAAUGGGCGAAAGCCUGACGGAGCAACGCCGCGUGAGUGAUGAAGGUCUUCGGAUCGUAAAACUCUGUUAUUAGGGAAGAACAAAUGUGUAAGUAACUAUGCACGUCUUGACGGUACCUAAUCAGAAAGCCACGGCUAACUACGUG
rnacentral:rRNA from 1 species